AGAAAAGAUGUUUGUGGCUCACUUCAAGUUGAUUCUCCAGAUUUGUCAGAUCUUUUAUGCUUAGUCCAGAAAGUUCUUUUCCCAAAAGCUGUCUGCAUUUAUGUGAAACAAAGAACUGAUUAUGCUUCCUCAAAACUGAACUGUUGCAUCAAUCUUAGAUGGCUCAAAUAGACGGUAGGAUGAACUUUAGGAAA